GGAAAAGAAACUAACAAGGAUUCCCCUAGUAACGGCGAGUGAAGCGGGAAGAGCUCAAAUUUGAAAUCUUAAAGGGUUUCCCUUUACGAAUUGUAGUUUAAAGAAGUGUUUUCUGUUGAGGUUUUGGUAAAAGUUCUUUGGAAUAGGACAUCAUAGAGGGUGAGAAUCCCGUAUUUGACCUUUACUUUCAACUUUGUGAUACACUUUCAAAGAGUCGGAUUGUUUGGGAAUGCAGUCCAAAAUGGGUGGUAAAUUUCAUCUAAAGCUAAAUAUUGGCGAGAGACCGAUAGCGAACAAGUACCGUGAGGGAAAGAUGAAAAGAACUUUGAAAAGAGAGUUAAACAGUACGUGAAAUUGUCAAAAGGGAAGCGUUUGACACCAGUGUUGUUUUUCUGAAAAUCAAUUAAAGAACUGUUUAUGCUAAGUUGUUUAGACUUUAUCAGCUAACUGUUUAGUUUUGAGCUUUUCUUUAAUGCACUUUUCAGUUAACAAGUCAACAUCAAUUUCUUUUGCUGUAAAAAAGCUUGAGGAAGGUGGCUUGAGAUUCGUCUUAAGUGUUUAUAGCCUCUUGCCUAUGCAGUCGGAGAGAUUGAGGUCUGCAGCGUAGAUCCUUCGGGGCUAAAUGCAUUUGUGCUAAGUUAUAGCAUUUUAUAGACAACUUGUUGACUAUGAUUUGUCUUGUAGCUUACU
rnacentral:rRNA from 1 species